rnacentral:rRNA from 1 species
UACGUAGGGGGCAAGCGUUGUCCGGAUUUAUUGGGCGUAAAGAGCGUGUAGGCGGCCAGACAGGUCCGUUGUGAAAACUCGAGGCUCAACCUCGAGAUGUCGAUGGAAACCGUCUGGCUAGAGUCCGGAAGAGGAGUGUGGAAUUCCUGGUGUAGCGGUGAAAUGCGUUGAUAUCAGGAGGAACACCGAUGGCGAAGGCAGGUCUCUGGGCCACUACUGACGCUGAGAAGCGAAAGCAUGGGGAGCGAACAGG